rnacentral:rRNA from 1 species
UACGAAGGGGGCUAGCGUUGUUCGGAAUUACUGGGCGUAAAGCGCACGUAGGCGGGUUGUUAAGUCAGGGGUGAAAUCCUGGAGCUCAACUCCAGAACUGCCUUUGAUACUGGCAACCUAGAGACUGGAAGAGGUUAGUGGAAUUCCUAGUGUAGAGGUGAAAUUCGUAGAUAUUAGGAAGAACACCAGUGGCGAAGGCGGCUCACUGGAUCGGUACUGACGCUGAGAAUCGAAAGCAUGGGGAGCGAACAGG